CUCCGGGGUGAGGCUCCUUCUACUUAGAGAAGGACCUGGCUUCCCCUUUAGCACACACAGGCAGGUCUUUCCUUCUUUCGGCCCCAAAUCCCGCCAAUAGGAGCCUAGGAUGUGAAAACCAGCAGGAGGCCUGGGAGGCAGAGGCAGCCACAGCCACAAGCUGGCGUCUUCCACCCUCUGUCCCUGGUGUGGGCAUAGACACAGAAGCUGUGAGAUGGGGCGUCUCUCCCUGAGCACGGCACCUCAGGGGGCUGUAAAUGUUACAGAGGAAAAAGGAGACUGGAAGAGGAAGUAAUGGUGAGUGGAGGAUUUGUAGCUCAGGUGGCCAGAGAAAGGGAGGGAGAUUGAAGGAGUGAACACGCACUAUGCAGGGAGCAGCGUUCUGGGCGGGGUAGGGGUAGGGCCGUGCAAAGGCCCAGGGGCACCAGGAG
rnacentral:lncRNA from 1 species